CCCUUAGAUGUUCUGGGCUGCACGCGUGUUACAAUCGGGAGUACAACAAGAUUGCAAAUCCUAGUGGAUGAGUGGUUCUUCGAAAUUUUCUGAAGACUGGGAUAGUUGAUUGAAAUUAUUCAACUCAAACGAGGAAUUCCUUGUAAUUGUAAUUCAUUAUAUUGUAAUGAAUACGUCCCUGCCCUUUGUACACACCGCCCGUCGCUCCUACCGAUUGAACGAUCCGGUGAAUUAUUUGGAGUAGCUCUGGAAGUUGCAGAACUUCCUAUGUCACGAAAUUUUGUAAACCUUAUCGUUUAGAGGAAGGAAAGGUCGUAACA
rnacentral:rRNA from 1 species